rnacentral:lncRNA from 1 species
AAAUAUUUCCAUUGUGUUGGGAUUGUUAGUGUUAAUGAAAAUUGACAGUUAUUUCGAUAAUAAUUAAUGUCUGGAGGUUAUAUUGACCAAUCGGGUAAUUAAUCGGAUAAAUGAGCAAUUAAUUGCUAUUAAUUUACAUGCUUAUAACUAUGUGAUCACAUGUGUGUACUAUUGAUUCACAUAAUUUACUAUUAGGGGAGUUGGUGCAAGAUUG